rnacentral:rRNA from 1 species
AAUGAACGUUGGCGGCGUGGAUUAGGCAUGCAAGUCGUGCGGAAAGGCUCCUUCGGGAGUACUCGAGCGGCGAAAGGGAGAGUAACGCGUGGAUAUCUACCCCCUGGCCUGGGAUAGCGGCGGGAAACUGCCGGUAAUACCAGAUAAUAUCUGCGGAUCACAGGUGUGAUUCCGCCGGGGGAUGAGUCCGCGUCCUAUUAGCUAGUUGGUUAGGUAAAGGCCCACCAAGGCUGAGAUGGGUACCGGGUGUGAGAGCAUGGCCCGGCUCACUGGGACUGAGACGCUGCCCAGACACCGACGGGUGGCUGCAGUCGCGAAUCUUCGGCAAUGGGCGCAAGCCUGACCGAGCGACGCCGCGUGCGGGAUGAAGGCCUUCGGGUUGUAAACCGCUGUCAGAGGGGAGGAAAUGCAUGGGGGUUCUCCCUCAUGUUUGACCUAUCCUCAGAGGAAGUACGGGCUAAGUUCGUGCCAGCAGCCGCGGUAA